CAAGUCGUACGAGAGAGUAGCAAUACGAGUAAAGUGGCGCACGGGUGAGUAAUAAUUGGAUAAUGCGCCUUCCCGCUGGGGAUAACCAGGCGAAAGCUUGGCUAAUACCGAAUAGUCCGGUCGAGACCACGGUCUUGACCGGUAAAGCCGUAAGGCGCGGGGAGAGUAGUCCAAUUCCCAUUAGCUAGUUGGUAGGGUAAUGGCCUACCAAGGCUACGAUGGGUAGCUGGUCUGAGAGGACGAUCAGCCACACUGGAACUGGAACACGGUCCAGACUCCUACGGGAGGCAGCAGUUAGGAAUCUUGCGCAAUGGGGGAAACCCUGACGCAGCAACGCCGCGUGAAGGACGAAGGCCUUCGGGUUGUAAACUUCUUUUAGCAGGAAAGAACAAAAUGACGGUACCUGCAGAAAAAGCACCGGCUAACUCUGUGCCAGCAGCCGCGGUAAUACAGAGGGUGCAAGCGUUAUUCGGAUUUACUGGGCAUAAAGAGCGCGUAGGCGGUUUAAUAAGUCUGAUGUGAAAUCCCUGGACUCAAUCCAGGAAGUGCAUCGGAUACUGUUAGACUAGAGUACAGGAGGGGAGAGCGGAAUUCCAGGUGUAGAGGUGAAAUUCGUAGAUAUCUGGAGGAACAACAGUGGCGAACGCGGCUCUCUGGACUGUUACUGACGCUGAGGCGCGAAAGCGUGGGGAGCAAACAGGAUUAGAUACCCUGCUAGUCCACGCCGUAAACGAUGGAUGCUAGAUGUCGGAACGUCUUACCCUUUCGGUGUCGUCGCAAAUGCAUUAAGCAUCCCGCCUGGAGGAGUACGGUCGCAAGAUUAAAACUCAAAGAAAUUGACGG
rnacentral:rRNA from 1 species